AUACGUAGGAUGCAAGCGUUAUCCGGAUUUAUUGGGUUUAAAGGGUGCGUAGGCGGUUUGCUAAGCGGGAGGUGAAAUGCCGGCGCUCAACGUCGGAAGUGCCUCCCGAACUGGUGGACUUGAAUGACUCUGCCGUGGGAGGAAUGUGUAGUGUAGCGGUGAAAUGCUUAGAGAUUACACAGAACACCGAUUGCGAAGGCAUCUCACGAAGGGUUGAUUGACGCUGAGGCACGAAAGCGUGGGGAUCAAACAGGAUUAGAUACCCUGGUAGUCCACGCAGUAAACGAUGAUGGCUAACCGCUGGGCUUAUCAGUUCAGUGGCCAAGCGAAAGCGAUAAGCCAUCCACCUGGGGAGUACGACCGCAAGGUUGAAACUCAAAGGAAUUGACGGGG
rnacentral:rRNA from 1 species